rnacentral:rRNA from 1 species
UACAGAGGGGGCAAGCGUUGUUCGGAAUUACUGGGCGUAAAGGGCGCGUAGGCGGCCUUCUAAGUCGGACGUGAAAUCCCCGGGCUCAACCCGGGAACUGCGUCCGAUACUGGAAGGCUUGAAUCCGGGAGAGGGAUGCGGAAUUCCAGGUGUAGCGGUGAAAUGCGUAGAUAUCUGGAGGAACACCGGUGGCGAAGGCGGCAUCCUGGACCGGAAUUGACGCUGAGGCGCGAAGGCCAGGGGAGCAAACGGG